rnacentral:rRNA from 1 species
CCGGAUGGAAAUCGGAGUGGUCCUGUAAAGGGUAAAGCCGGCUUUACUGCAAGGCGGAUGUGCCGCGCAGUUGGGAAACCAGAACUUAGUGAACCGAUCCUUUUUAUUAGAAAAGGGAAAGAUCAUCAACCAAAAGUUACCCCGGGGAUAACAGGCUAGUAGAGCCCGCGAGUUCAUAUCAACGGCUCUGUUCGGCACCUCGAUGUCGGCUAACAUCACAUCCUGGAGGUGAAGAAGCUUCCAAGGGUUCUGCUGUUCGCAGAUUAAAGUGAUACGCGAGUUGGGUUCAAACCGUAAGAAUAUGCGUGAGACAGGUUGGUCUCUAUCUACUGUAGGCGACGAGUCUUGAGGGGAGUUGGCCUCUGUACGAGAGGAUCAGGCUGAACUAACCUCUGGUAUACCAGUUGUUCCGCCAGGAACAUGGCUGGAUAGCUAAGUUGGGCAGGGAUAAGAGCUGAAAGCAUCUAAGCUCGAAACCCACUCCAAGAUUAAGACUCAUUAAGACCGCUCAAAGACUAUGAGCUUGAUAGGCUUCAGGUGUAAGCGCAGUAAUGCGUUAAGCCGAGAAGUACUAAUGGUC